rnacentral:rRNA from 1 species
AUAUUACUAAGCGGAGGAAAAGAAAUCAACGAAGAUUGCCUCAGUAGCGGCGAGUGAAGCGGCAAGAGCUCAAGUUUAGAAUCUGUGAUCGCUUCGGUCACCGAAUUGUAAUCUAAAGGGGUUAUCAAAAGGGGAUGUGGGAGCAUAAGUUCCUUGGAAAAGGACGUCAAAGAGGGUGAAAACCCCGUAUGCAGCUUCCAUCGAACCGACUGAUGUCCUUCUGAGAGUCGGGUUGUUUGGGAUUGCAGCCCUAAAUGGGAGAUAAACUUCUUCUAAGGCUAAAUAUCUGUGGGAGACCGAUAGCGCACAAGUA